GGGGCCGAACGGUAUUGACAGGAAAGAAUUCGUGUCAGUAAGCAUGCCGGAGAACUGAUCAUUUACUCCGUCCAAAUAAUGAUCGAACUAUAAUUGGCGAAAAUAGAUUCGCACUAGCAGCCUAAUUUUAGAAAUUAGAUGCUUUUUGGGCCGCACACUUGAUGCUACUAUAUAGUGAGCCGCCUAUCAAACAAACCGUAGCUUAGGUGUCUAGAGUGCUUCGACUGGAUACUGAAAAUUAAGAAGAUAAGCGCUUAGCGGGUUGCUUGUACACCUUCUAAGUGACGAAAAUCAAAGAAUAAGCUAAGCAUGUAGAAAGCUUUCAGGUGCUUUGUCUGGACCAGGGUUCGAAUCCCUGCGGCUCCACU
rnacentral:tmRNA from 1 species